GGCCAGUUCCCUGCGUGUCUCAUUUCACGCUCCCUGACCUGUGAGAGCUGGGAGGGACCUGGGGGAUCUGAGGCUCAACUCCUUUAUUUCCCAAGGAGCAAACCGAGGACUGAGAGCAGUUGAGAAGUUUGCUGCACAUCUGGGACUGGGACUCCUGCCUGGUGUCUCUGGCUAGCGGGAGAUCCAGUUCUCAGGCUACUUUUCCUAUUGGUGAGGCUCCUCAGGAAGCCUCCUACCACAUAUUCCUUGGGAGGUGUUCCUGCUCCAAUCUCAUUCCCUGCCCUGCAUCAUCAAACUGCUGCUCGUAUUAAAUGUGGCCCUUCCGAGUAUCUGGACAGCCCUAGGUACUGCUUAAACCCCUGGGGCUUAAGGGGACAGACAGAACUGUAAAGCUUGAAGCAAAUGCUGGGAAUCCCUGUAUUCAUACAUUUUGUGAAUGGACGAAACCCACCUCCAAGUGGGCGAGUGGGUGGGAUCCGUAAUGGAGGACCUCGGUGGCCAUGGGAACUGGGCAGCUUGUGCUUCUGCCCUGCUGGCCCUUCAUCGCUGUGGGACCUUAGGCCUAGCACUGGCCCUCUCUGACCUUCAGUUUCUUCAUCAGAAAGCAGAGGGAGUGGACUGGCCUUGCCACCAUUGAGCCUGGCAUGUGUUCCUCUGUCUUGCCCUUCUAACCAAGUGCUUCUUCUCCUGCCCUGCUCGAUUGCUUUUCUGGAACGUGCCAGGGCCAAGGUGACAAAGUCUGAACCCACAUUGAGUGGUAACAAACAGCCGGUGGCAUUUCAGUCCCCAGAUUGGAAGCCCAGCCUUCAGCAUUACGGUGAUUUUAAUCCCUGCCAGACUUGCAAAGCCCUGAAGUCACUCCUGGGCCUCCUUCUAAGGAGAGCAGGGCUUGCUGGGAGCCACAGACCUGGGACAUGUCCUUUGAGUGCUUCUAAAAUCCCCAGGCUGGGCCACUCAUUUUACCCCGGUGACCUCUCCAACUCGGGGCGGCAUGAGGGGCUGGGCAAGCCUCCUGCCCUCCCUCCAACUCGUCCCUAGCCAGGGCUGAGCUGGCAACUUCUGCUGGGUACACCUGUCAAAACAGAGCCACAGGAAAGGAGAGCAGGGAGCUGAAAAACAUGGUCUAACCACAGCGAACUUUCCGGCAGGGCUGGGCUAGGCAGGGCUGGCAAGCCAUGACCCGUGGGUGGUGCGCUGAGCAGCCUGCUUAGGGAUUGCUUGGCCUGCCAGAGCACAGGCCCUUUGCUUUGCUUGUCUUCUCCUGUCUAGCCCUUUUAUUUUCUUUUGAACACUUCCAAGGGCAAGACUCUGUGCUUGGUGUGACAGGCAGUGUACACAGGCUGGUGCAGUGCAACCAGGCAGGAGUCCCUCACAAUGCAGAUUGUGGGGCCGGGUGCCAUGGCUCGUGCCUGUAAUUCUAGGACUUUGGAAGGCCAAGGUGGGUGGAUCACUUAAGGUGAGGAGUUCAAGACCAACCUGGCCAACAUGGUGAAAGCCCGUCUCCACUAAAAAUACAAGAAUUAGCUGGGCAGGGUGGUGCGUACCUGUAAUCUCAGCUACUCGGGAGGCUGAGGCAGGAGAAUAGCUUGAGCCUGGGAAGCAGAAAUUGCAGUGAGCCGAGAUUGUACCAUGCACUCCAUCCUGGGUGACACAGUGAGACUCCAUCACUAAUACAUACAUACAUACAUACAUACAUACAUACAUACAUAAAUGCAGAUUGUGGGCUCUACCCCAGAAGCUCUGAUUCAGAAUCAGGGAUGCGGUGGGAUGGGAGGAAUGGGGCAGGUCUGGGCCUGGUGGUGGUGGUGGGGGGUGCAGAACAUGUACUUUACCCAGUUUCGCAGGGGUUCUGAUGCCGUGUAUAAAACUUGAGAGCCACAGAGCCACAGGUAUAGGAGACAGGAGAUAAAUGAAAAUAUUGUUUUUUUAUUUAUGUACAUAAUCACAAGUAAUCUUCACAGGCAAAGUGUGUUUGAAUUUUAUAGGUCAGAAAAAAGGCUCAGAAAAGCUAAUUCAUUCAUUCAAGGCCACAUAGAUGUUAAGUGGUUUUGAACCCAGGAUUUUAGAAGCCACUACACUGAGCUACUUCUUACAGAAAGGUAGGAUCGGAAAUUAGAUCAGACCUGUGUUUGCAUCUGAGAUAGCUGAGAUCCACAGAAUCAACUUGCUCAAGGUCCCAGAGCCAGCUAGUGACAAAGCUGUGAUAAGGCUUCACACGGAGGGCUGCUGGGUUUCCCCGUUCCAGCUACCUGGUCACUAACGCCACUGGUGAGGCAGCACGGGAGGUAGCAGCAGGAGUGUGCUUCUGGCUGGAGAGUUGGCGGCUUCUCAAGGAAGCCAGGUGCCAACCUCAGCCAGACCCCCUGACUUCCCUUUUCCCUAAGCCCAAGUUCUCCAACAUAGGUGUCAAACAAAAUCUCCUGGCAUGAGGCACAAACUAUUAAAUAUUAGAACAUCUCAAUGUGUUUCAUCUAUUCUAGGUCACACUUUGUUUUCACAUAGUCGGAUGUGCUAUGAAGCCAGCCAUAAAGCUCAGGAUGACCAAGAAUAUAAUUUGAAAAUGAAUUUGUUUACUGUCCUUAAUGAACACAAUGACCAACAACUCCAGAACAUAUGUUAUUUUCAAAGGCACAUCAGAUAUUAACCAAAACAGACCAUAUGCUGAGCCAUAAGCAUGAGAAACACGAGCGUCAUGAAGAAAGGGGACACAUUCUCUGCAGAAUUUCCGAAGGGUUUUCGUCCGUCUCUGCUGCUCUCAUUUGCUGGCCAUUGCAUUGGGGAUCUGUAAUGGAAGGCAUCUGACAACCUCCACCAGCGCCUUUUAGUGAAGAACUGGACUCUGGCUUUGCUCGUUAGUGGGAUUACUUCUGAGCUUGCAGCGUGGCUCAUUGAAGAGCUGUUAAAUCCUUGGGCGGCUGCUGCACUUGUGUUUAUUUGUUCUGUAAAUGCAAAAAAAAA